UACGUAGGGGGCAAGCGUUGUCCGGAUUUAUUGGGCGUAAAGAGCGUGUAGGCGGUUAUACAGGUCCGCUGUGAAAACUGGAGGCUUAACCUCCAGACGUCGGUGGAAACCGUAUAACUAGAGUCCGGAAGAGGAGAGUGGAAUUCCUGGUGUAGGGGUGAAAUGCGCAGAUAUCAGGAAGAACACCCGUGGCGAAGGCGGCUCUCUGGGACGGUACUGACGCUGAGACGCGAAAGCGUGGGGAGCGAACAGG
rnacentral:rRNA from 1 species